AAUCAACGCUGGCGGCGUGCCUAACACAUGCAAGUCGAACGGAUCCUUCGGGAUUAGUGGCGGACGGGUGAGUAACACGUGGGAACGUGCCCUUUGGUUCGGAACAACUCAGGGAAACUUGAGCUAAUACCGGAUGUGCCCUUCGGGGGAAAGAUUUAUCGCCAUUGGAGCGGCCCGCGUCUGAUUAGCUAGUUGGUGAGGUAAAGGCUCACCAAGGCGACGAUCAGUAGCUGGUCUGAGAGGAUGAUCAGCCACAUUGGGACUGAGACACGGCCCAAACUCCUACGGGAGGCAGCAGUGGGGAAUCUUGCGCAAUGGGCGAAAGCCUGACGCAGCCAUGCCGCGUGAAUGAUGAAGGUCUUAGGAUUGUAAAAUUCUUUCACCGGGGACGAUAAUGACGGUACCCGGAGAAGAAGCCCCGGCUAACUUCGUGCCAGCCGCCGCAGUAAUAC
rnacentral:rRNA from 1 species